GAUGAACGCUGGCGGCGUGCUUAACACAUGCAAGUCGAACGGUGAAGCCCAGCUUGCUGGGUGGAUCAGUGGCGAACGGGUGAGUAACACGUGAGCAACCUGCCCCGGACUCUGAGAUAAGCGCUGGAAACGGCGUCUAAUACUGGAUACGAGACGCAACCGCAUGGUUAGUGUCUGGAAAGAUUUUUCGGUCUGGGAUGGGCUCGCGGCCUAUCAGCUUGUUGGUGAGGUAAUGGCUCACCAAGGCGUCGACGGGUAGCCGGCCUGAGAGGGUGACCGGCCACACUGGGACUGCGACACGGCCCAGACUCCUACGGGAGGCAGCAGUGGGGAAUAUUGCACAAUGGGCGGAAGCCUGAUGCAGCAACGCCGCGUGAGGGAUGACGGCCUUCGGGUUGUAAACCUCUUUUAGCAAGGAAGAAGCGAAAGUGACGGUACUUGCAGAAAAAGCGCCGGCUAACUACGUGCCAGCCGCCGCCGUAAGAC
rnacentral:rRNA from 1 species